CAAAUAUUUUCUCCGUUCUAAAAUUUUUGUCUUAAGUUUGUCUAGAAAAUGGAUGUAUCUAGAUACUAAAACAUGACUAAAUACAUUCAUAUCUAUACAAAUCUAAGACAAGAAUUUUAAAACGAAGGUAGUAACUA
rfam:Hordeum vulgare subsp. vulgare, WGS project CAJW01000000 data, contig: morex_contig_2551435